rnacentral:rRNA from 1 species
GAUGAACGCUAGCGGCAGGCUUAAUACAUGCAAGUCGAGGGGCAGCAGGACUGUAGCAAUACAGUUGCUGGCGACCGGCAAACGGGUGCGGAACACGUACGCAAUCUACCCAGAACUGAUGAAUAGCCCUCCGAAAGGAGGAUUAAUACAUCGUAACAUAAUGAAGUGGCAUCACUUUAUUAUUAUAGCUCCGGCGGUUUUGGAUGAGCGUGCGCCNGAUUAGGUAGUUGGCGGGUAACGGCCCACCAAGCCUUCGAUCAGUAACUGGUGUGAGAGCACGACCAGUCACACGGGCGACUGAGACACGGGCCCGACUCCUACGGGAGGCAGCAGUAAGGAAUAUUGCG